GGUAACGGCCUACCAAGGGUACGAUCAGUAGGGGUUCUGAGAGGAUUAACCCCCACACUGGUACUGAGACACGGACCAGACUCCUACGGGAGGCAGCAGUGAGGAAUAUUGGUCAAUGGGCGGAAGCCUGAACCAGCCAUCCUGCGUGAAGGAAGACAGCCUUACGGGUUGUAAACUUCUUUUCUGUCAGAAGAAUAAGCUUGUCGAGACGAGUGAUGCCGGUAUGACAGGAAUAAGCAUCGGCUAACUCCGUGCCAGCAGCCGCGGUAAUACGGAGGAUGCAAGCGUUAUCCGGAUUUAUUGGGUUUAAAGGGUGCGCAGGUUGUUUGAUAAGUCAGUGGUGAAAGUCUGUCGCUUAACGGUAGGAUUGCCAUUGAUACUGUUGGACUUGAAUAUGGAUGAGGUAGGCGGAAUGUGUAGUGUAGCGGUGAAAUGCAUAGAUAUUACACAGAACACCGAUUGCGAAGGCAGCUUACUAAUCCAUCAUUGACGGUGAGGCAAGAAAGCGUGGGGAUCAAACAGGAUUAGAUACCCUGGUAGUCCACGCCGUAAACGAUGAUCACUCGCUGUUUGCGAUAUACAGUAAGCGGCUAAGCGAAAGCGUUA
rnacentral:rRNA from 1 species